rnacentral:tRNA from 1 species
GGAGAUAUAGCUCAGUUGGUAGAGCGGUGGACUGAAAAUCCAUGUGGACUGGUUCGAUUCCAGUUAUCUCCA